GUCGAGCGAACAGACGAGGAGCUUGCUCCUCUGACGUUAGCGGCGGACGGGUGAGUAACACGUGGAUAACCUACCUAUAAGACUGGGAUAACUUCGGGAAACCGGAGCUAAUACCGGAUAAUAUAUUGAACCGCAUGGUUCAAUAGUGAAAGACGGUUUUGCUGUCACUUAUAGAUGGAUCCGCGCCGCAUUAGCUAGUUGGUAAGGUAACGGCUUACCAAGGCAACGAUGCGUAGCCGACCUGAGAGGGUGAUCGGCCACACUGGAACUGAGACACGGUCCAGACUCCUACGGGAGGCAGCAGUAGGGAAUCUUCCGCAAUGGGCGAAAGCCUGACGGAGCAACGCCGCGUGAGUGAUGAAGGUCUUCGGACCGUAAAACUCUGUUAUUAGGGAAGAACAAAUGUGUAAGUAACUAUGCACGUCUUGACGGUACCUAAUCAGAAAGCCACGGCUAACUACGUGCCAGCAGCCGCGGUAAUACGUAGGUGGCAAGCGUUAUCCGGAAUUAUUGGGCGUAAAGCGCGCGUAGGCGGUUUUUUAAGUCUGAUGUGAAAGCCCACGGCUCAACCGUGGAGGGUCAUUGGAAACUGGAAAACUUGAGUGCAGAAGAGGAAAGUGGAAUUCCAUGUGUAGCGGUGAAAUGCGCAGAGAUAUGGAGGAACACCAGUGGCGAAGGCGACUUUCU
rnacentral:rRNA from 1 species